CCGAAAGACUAAGGUUUUAGAAGGAAGGUUCGUCCGCUUCUAGUUAGCCGGGAGCUAAGGCGAGGCCGAAAGGCGUAGUCGAUGCACAUACGGUUGAGAUUCCGUAGCCACCUUAAAUUUAAACUAAGGGACACAUUGAAAGGGAAUAACCCAGGCGUUGGUUGACCUGGGCGUAAGGGAACGAAAAUAAGUAGUGAAGUAUUCUUGGACAGUGGCGAGAAAAGCUUAGUGUAUAUUAUUAGGGUGCCCGUACUGCAAACCGACACAGGUAGUCAGGAAGAGAAUUCUAAGGCCAUCGGGAGAAGCGUUGUUAAGGAACUCGGCAAAUUGACCCCGUAACUUCGGAAUAAGGGGUGCUCACGAGAGUGAGCCGCAGUGAAUAGGUCCAGGCAACUGUUUAUCAAAAACACAGCUCUCUGCUAAAUCGUAAGAUGACGUAUAGGGGGUGACACCUGCCCGGUGCUGGAAGGUUAAGAGGAGGAGUGCAAGCCCCGAAUCGAAGCCCCAGUAAACGGCGGCCGUAACUAUAACGGUCCUAAGGUAGCGAAAUUCCUUGUCGGGUAAGUUCCGACCCGCACGAAUGGUGUAAUGAUCUGGACACUGUCUCAACAACGCACCCGGCGAAAUUGUAGUACCGGUGAAGAUGCCGGUUACCCGCGGCAAGACGGAAAGACCCCAUGGAGCUUUACUGUAACUUAAUAUUGGGUCUCGGUACUUUAUGUACAGGAUAGGCGGGAGACUUGGAAACUAGCACGCCAGUGUUAGCGGAGUCAUCCUUGGGAUACCGCUCUUAAGGUAUUGAGAUUCUAACCUGCAGCCUUGAAUCAGGUUGGGGGACAUUGUUAGGUGGGCAGUUUGACUGGGGCGGUCGCCUCCAAAAGAGUAACGGAGGCGUUCAAAGGUUCGCUCAGCAUGGACGGAAACCAUGCUUUAGAGUAUAAACGCAUAAGCCAGCCUAACUGCGAGACUGACGGGUCGAGCAGUAACGAAAGUUG
rnacentral:rRNA from 1 species